rnacentral:rRNA from 1 species
CCUACGAGGGGCAGCAGUGAGGAAUAUUGGUCAAUGGCCGGAAGGCUGAACCAGCCAAGCCGCGUGAAGGUCAGUGCCCCAUGGGCGUUAAACUUCUUUUGUGCGGGAGCAAUAAUGGUCACGUUUGGCCAGACGAGAGUACCGUACGAAUAAGCAUCGGCUAACUCCGGGCCAGCAGCCGCGGGAAUACGGGAGAUGCAAGCGUUAUCCGGAUUUAGUGGGUUUAAAGGGUUCGUAGGCUGUGAGGUAAGUCAGCGGUGAAAUGCCCCCGGUCAACGGGGUGAAGUGCCAUUGAUACUGCCUUGCUGGAAGGCGGAUGACGUGGGAGGAAUGUGUGGGGUAGCGGUGAAAUGCAUAGAUAUCACACAGAACACCGAUUGCGAAGGCAUCUCACGAAUCCGCGAUUGACGCUGAUGCACGAAAGCGUGGGUAUCAAACAGGAUUAGAUACCCGUGUAGUC